rnacentral:rRNA from 1 species
AUGGAGGAGGCGGAGAAAGGGGAGCUCUUGGAGAGGGACACCAAGCCUUGGCUGGACAGCCAUCCGGGGCCAACGGCCGGCCUACCCCUGCUCACCGACGACCUCGUCCUGGAGAUCCUCUCCCGCCUCCCCGUGAGAUCCCUCCACCGCUUCAAGUGCGUCUCCGUGUCCUGGCGCGACCUCAUCGCCGACCCCGCCAACCGCAAGAAGCUGCCACAGACCCUCGCUGGCUUCCUCUACUUUACCACCGACGACAGCGGGCAUCGCCACCACUUCGCCAGCGUCUCUGGCGCCGCAGCCCCGCUUGACCCUUGCCUGCAGCCUAACAAGUACAAGUACAUGGCCCAGCUGGGCUCCUGCAAUGGCCUCCUUCUAUACCGCGGCAGCAACAAGAGGAUGGCGAAUUGGGCAGGCGGUGCUUCCCGUUUUGUGGUGUGCAAUCCUGCCACUCGGAGGUGGGUGGAGCUGCCCCCUCAACCGCAGGUGCCGGCGAACAAAUAUUGCCAUAUCGCAGGAGCCUGGAGUUUCAGGAGUGGUAGUAGGAUGGUUGAGAAAGUGGUGCCGCUCAAUAGUAAAUGUGUCUUCGUCGGCGGUAUGAUGUAUUUGAUUGGCAACCUGAUGGACUUCAACAACAUAUACGUGCUGAUGGUGGUGGACAUGGAGGGGAAAGUGUGGAAGACUAUCCCUGUGCCGUACGGCCGAGGAUCUGCCACGAUUGGAGUGUCGCAGGGGUGCUUGCACUAUGUUGUAGCUUCAACGGUUCCAGUCAAUGAUAGUAAUGAAAUCCUAGGUUCUGGGAUAACACUUUGGUGCCUCAAGGAUCGUGACAGCAAAGAAUUGGUUCUAAAGCGUUCUGCCAACAUCAAUGAGAUUAUGGGCAUGAUUGGGGAGAAGUACAGGGUGGCUGCGAUUCAUCCAGAUUGCGACACCGUUUUCUUGAUGUCAUCUGGAGGUGAUACCUUGGUAGCGUAUGAUAUGCAACAUCAGAAACUUCAUUGCAUCCUUAAUCUUGAGAAAGGCAUUACAAAACCGAAACGGUUUCUACCCUAUGUUCCUCUGUUCUCAGAGUCAUUACCAGAUGCAGAUGGGCAGUAG